rnacentral:tRNA from 1 species
GCGAUUGUGGCGGAACUGGCAGACGCGCACGUUUGAGGGGCGUGUGGGUAACCGUAUGGGUUCAAGUCCCAUCAGUCGCACCA